AUUGAACGCUGGCGGCAUGCUUUACACAUGCAAGUCGAACGGGGUGAGGGGGCAACCUCUCAUCUAGUGGCGAACGGGUGAGUAAUGCAUCGGAACGUGUCCCGUAGUGGGGGAUAACCCGGCGAAAGCCGGACUAAUACCGCAUAUGCUCUACGGAGGAAAGUGGGGGACCUGUAAGGGCCUCACGCUAUGGGAGCGGCCGAUGUCCGAUUAGCUUGUUGGUGAGGUAAUGGCUCACCAAGGCGACGAUCGGUAGCUGGUCUGAGAGGAUGAUCAGCCACACUGGGACUGAGACACGGCCCAGACUCCUACGGGAGGCAGCAGUGGGGAAUUUUGGACAAUGGGGGCAACCCUGAUCCAGCCAUG
rnacentral:rRNA from 1 species